GACGAACGCUGGCGGCAUGCUUAACACAUGCAAGUCGAACGGAAAGGCCCUGCUUUUGUGGGGUGCUCGAGUGGCGAACGGGUGAGUAACACGUGAGUAACCUGCCCUUGACUUUGGGAUAACUUCAGGAAACUGGGGCUAAUACCGGAUAGGAGCUCCUGCUGCAUGGUGGGGGUUGGAAAGUUUCGGCGGUUGGGGAUGGACUCGCGGCUUAUCAGCUUGUUGGUGGGGUAGUGGCUUACCAAGGCUUUGACGGGUAGCCGGCCUGAGAGGGUGACCGGCCACAUUGGGACUGAGAUACGGCCCAGACUCCUACGGGAGGCAGCAGUGGGGAAUAUUGCACAAUGGGCGGAAGCCUGAUGCAGCAACGCCGCGUGCGGGAUGACGGCCUUCGCGUUGUAAACCGCUUUCGCCUGUGACGAAGCGUGAGUGACGGUAAUGGGUAAAGAAGCACCGGCUAACUACGUG
rnacentral:rRNA from 1 species